AUUGAACGCUGGCGGCAUGCCUUACACAUGCAAGUCGAACGCGAAAGGGGGGCAACCCCCGAGUAGAGUGGCGGACGGGUGAGUAAUACAUCGGAACGUACCCAGUAGUGGGGGACAACCUCGAGAAAUCGAGGCUAAUACCGCAUACGACCCACGGGUGAAAGCGGGGGACCGCAAGGCCUCGCGCUAUUGGAGCGGCCGAUGUCCGAUUAGCUAGUUGGUGGGGUAAGAGCCCACGAAGGCGACGAUCGGUAGCGGGUCUGAGAGGACGACCAGCCAAACGGGGAGUGGGACACGGCCCAGACACCUACGGGAGGCAGAAGUGGGGGAGUUUGGACAAUGGGGGCAACCCUGAUUCAGCCAUGCCGCGUGCGGGAAGAAGGCCUUCGGGUUGUAAACCGCUUUCGGCCGGAACGAAAUCGCCGGGGAGAACAUCCCCGGUGGAUGACGGUACCGGAAGAAGAAGCACCGGCUAACUACGUGCCAGCAGCCGCCGUAAAAC
rnacentral:rRNA from 1 species